UUUUUUUUUUUGUUUGUUUGUUGUGGGUUUUUUUGAAAACUACAGAAUUCUUGCAAGAAAUUAAGAUGACAGUGGAGAUAACUGGGGGAAGACGAGAGUGCUUGCUUGCUUGAAAUAGACUACAACUCAGUUAGUACUCAAAUUCACGAUUGAAUAAGGUGUAUUGCAGUUCUAACCACUAGACCGUUUUGAAAUGCUCUUUUUAUUCCUCUUGGUUUCUCAGCAGGAAAGUAUAAUCUGAACCUUUUUUUUUUUUAUCCAUCUAGAUCUCAGGUUUGUUAUCUGUUCAAGACAUGCCCUCUGAUAUUUAUGUAUUACAAUUUGCCUUGUUUGAGCUCUUCAGAGUUUGCCAUUCAUUUAGAUUUUUUUUGUUGUAACCACUGAUUUAACUUGAAAUCUAUCCCUCUACACGCAAGACAAUUUUGCCAUUUUCCUUCAGAAGCCAGACAAUUUAUAGAUGAGCUCAGACCAAAUAAAUCAGGCAAGAUAUAUUUAUAGGUCUAAUAUACCAUAUAUAUUAAUAUAUAUUUUUAAUCACCAUCAUACUGUCACUCUGCAGAAAUAAUUAGCUGUGAGCAGGGCAUACACAUCUGCUAUCCAAGCAGAUCCUAUUGCUGGUAUCCAGGCUAGGACACUUCAGAACAGCCAGUGUUUAGAGUCAGUCACUGCAUACUGCUUGUGUCCAUCAGUGAUGAGUUUAGCUGCCUUCAUUUCCCUGCACUAAUUCACCUGUAUGACUGUAUAACUAUAAUUAUCUUUAGACUGAGAAAUUUCUCCAUGAGAGAACAUUUACAGUAAUUCUGAAUGAAGAAACAUAGAUUCACACUAUAUUAACUUCAAUACUUUGCUCAAAGGCAUUGACUCAUCUUCAGCUCCUUUUCUCAUGGCAUGAAGCCUCAGGAAUUCUCAGUUUUGCUUUCCAAACAAGGACUGUGUCUCGGAUAGCUGUCUCCAUUUUGGGUCGACUAGAUUUCUGAAUAUUCAUGUAUGGAAACCAACACC
rnacentral:lncRNA from 1 species